rnacentral:lncRNA from 1 species
UCUCACCAGGCUGCGCGCUGGCGGGUCGGUGCACAGGGACGGGGUCGCCGCCCACGCGCGCUUGGUUCAGGGAGCCCAGGCUGUCCCUACCCGCGGCUACAAAAGCUCGCCGAGUCUUCCUGUCCACCCAAUCGCCCCACAUGUCAGCGGUUGGUCGCCUCGCGGUGCAGUGCUGGGCACGCGAGCCCCUCCCGCAGUCAUUCUCAGCACAAGCACCAGCCUGGAGCCCCGCAGCGACAGAGCUGAGAGCCCCCAAGCCGCAGAGGUCGUGCGGAGCAGUUGCCCUUGGCUAUAAAGCCUGAAGUGGGUGUUGGAGUAGUCAACGACUAACCCAGGAUGGAUUUGUGCCAAUACACAAGUGACAACAUCUUUCACAGCUGAAGAGUCGGAGGAUAAAGCCAUGCCCACAGAUCGUUGUCACACAGAUUUGAUUAAGUGAAACAAAGCCCCAGCUGCUGGAGCAGAGGUUCCACUUGGGUUCCACAGACACCCACAGCCCAAAUCCCUGGAGGCCUAAGGCAAUAGCUAAUUGAGACUAUGCAUCACUAUUAAGGCAUCUUCACUAAAGGGCGCUGUGGAAACGCUGCCUGAGAUGCAGACACCUGUCAGAAGGGGGCUAAAUUUCAAACAAGGAACGUGGUGUUGCAUCACAAUAAAAACAGAAGAAACACACGUGUUCUUGUGUGUAAACCCAGUCCAUGGAAGAGACCGUCUGCUUGUCCCUCCUGAUCUCUGGGCCCAGACAACCAGUAGUCACCAUUCCAAGUGAGGGGUGGCUGCAACUCUACAGCCCCGUUCGUCUCUCCUCACUGUCAAAGCUGCUGAGACCCCAGACUCGACACUUGAAAGAAACCCAUGUCUGUGAAGCACUUGUGGACCAUUCAAGAUUGUGGAAGAAUCACUCAAGAGAAGGAGAUAGGUGAUGGGAUCUAGCUUCUGAUGGUUUCUAUUUUAUUGAAUGUCUAAUAGGGCAAGAAUUUGAAAAACGAGAAUGUUUGCCAUGCAGGAGGACCUGGGAAGGAGAUAACACAUUUACAGGGAGAAAGAUUGGGAUUCAGUUGGGAGGAGUAACUGAGGAAAGGGGUCACUCAAAAUAUUUUGUAUUUUAGGUCCUUUUUCUAUUAAGGAGGAAUGGAUUAUCAAAGCCUUAACAUUAAAUUGUAUUGUGUCAGGUGAAUUGCUAUGGUUUGAAUGUGGUGUGUCCCCCUCCCAAACUCACAUUGAAUUUUUUUUUUUUUUUUUGAGACGGAGUCUCGCUCUGUUGCCCAGGCUGGAGUGCAGUGGUGCGAUCUUGGCUCACUACAAGCUCUGCCUCCCGGGUUCAAGAGAUUCUCCUGCCUCAGCCUCCCGAGUAGCUGGGAUUACAGAUGUUCGUCACCACACCUGGCUAAUUUUUGUAUUUUUAAUAGAGAUGGGGUUUCACUAUGUUGGCUAGGCUGGUCUCAAACUCCCGACAUCAGGUGAUCCACCCACCUCGGCCUCCCAAAGUGCUGGGAUUAGAGGAGUGAGCCACUGCACCCAGCCUCACGUUGAGGUUUAAUUGCCAUUGUAACAGUAUAAAGAUGUGGGACCUUUACGAGGUGAUUAGGCAAUGAGGACUCUGCCCUCAUGAAUGGAUUAAUGCUGUUAUCAUGGGAGUGGAUUCCUUAUAAAGGGACACGUUCAGCACCCCCUUGCUCUCUCUCUCACCUUCCGCCAUAUGAUGAUGGGGCACAAAGGCCAUCAUCAGAUGUUGGCCCCUUGUUCUCGAACUUCCCAACCUCCAGAGCAGUAAAAAAAUAAAUCACUGUUCUUUACAAA